GUUUGCAAGUUGGGUCACAAGGUAAGUGCAAAAAUACCACUCCCUCUCUUCUUUAAAUCUUGUAAGAAUGAUGAGAUGAGUGAGUAUUCCAUGAAAAUGAAAACAAAUAAAAAGAAAUUGAAGAACCCUAAUUUUGGCAGCCAUGAAUCUUGUGAGGUUUGCUGUUUUUAAAUGAUGAAAAAUGGUUCCAUAAGGAUGUUUGAAUAGUUGAUAUGAUAAGAAGUGUAAAAGAGUUGAGUUUGUGUAAAUUGGGUGAUUGGAAUUAGGGUUUAUGUAUAUGAUGUGGGGACUUUAUGUAAAUACUUGAAAUUGACUUGGUUGAGUUGAGAUUGAUGCUUAUAGAAGUGCCAUAUAUGCUUAUUUGGAGUUUGGAAGAAGGAGGAGAUUGAAAUUGGGAGUGUGAAUUUUCUGCAGGUUGUGUUGUUAUUGAAUCCAGUAGAUUUUUAUUGCCAUAUCUCCCUUUGUGUUGCCCCAAUUGGUAUGAGGCCAAUUGAAAGUGUUUUGGGACAUCCAAACCUUC
rnacentral:misc_RNA from 1 species